AUGAUCUCACCGACUCAGCUCAUCUGGCUCUUAGUGUUCUGGGCCCCAGGCUCCAGUGGGCAGAUUGUGAUGACUCAGACACCAGAAUCCCUGGCAGUGUCUCCUGGAGACACAAUCACUAUCCGCUGCAAAGCCAGUUCCAGCCUCAUCAGUGGUAGCAAUAACUACCUAGCCUGGUACCAACAGAAAUCAGGACAAAGGCCGAAGCUCCUCAUCUAUCUUGCUUCCACGCGUGCCUCUGGGAUCCCAGACCGGUUCAGCGGCAGUGGGUCUGGGACCGAUUUCACUCUCACGAUCAGCAGGGUUGAAGCUGAAGAUGCUGGAGAUUAUUAUUGUCUACAAAGCAGGAGCUCGCCUCUCACAGUGAUAUAG